UACAGAGGUGGCAAGCGUUGUUCGGAAUUACUGGGCGUAAAGGGCGCGUAGGCGGUCUUCUAAGUCCUGUGUGAAAUCCCUCGGCUCAACUGAGGAACUGCACGGGAUACUGGAAGACUUGAGUUCGGGAGAGGGAAGCGGAAUUCCAGGUGUAGCGGUGAAAUGCGUAGAUAUCCGGAGGAACACCGGUGGCGAAGGCGGCUUCCUGGACCGAUUACUGACGCUGAGGCGCGAAAGCUAGGGGAGCAAACGGG
rnacentral:rRNA from 1 species